rnacentral:rRNA from 1 species
GACGAACGCUGGCGGCGUGCUUAACACAUGCAAGUCGAACGGUGAAGCGCCUUCCUUUUUGGUGGGUGUGGAUGAGUGGCGAACGGGUGAGUAACACGUGAGUAACCUGCCCCCUUCUUCUGGAUAACCGCAUGAAAGUGUGGCUAAUACGGGAUAUUCUGGGUCUGUCGCAUGAUGGGUCUGGGAAAGAUAUUGUUUCGGUGGGGGAUGGGCUCGCGGCCUAUCAGCUUGUUGGUGGGGUGAUGGCCUACCAAGGCGGUGACGGGUAGCCGGCCUGAGAGGGUGGACGGUCACACUGGGACUGAGACACCGCCCAGACUCCUACGGGAGGCAGCAGGGGGGAAUAUUGCACAAUGGGCGCAAGCCUGAUGCAGCGACGCCGCGUGAGGGAUGGAGGCCUUCGGGUUGUGAACCUCUUUCGCCAGUGAAGCAGGCCUGCCUUGUUUGUGGGUGGGUUGACGGUAGCUGGAGAAGAAGCGCCGGCUAACUACGUG